UACGUAGGUGGCAAGCGUUGUCCGGAUUUAUUGGGUUUAAAGGGUGCGUAGGCGGCUUAUUAAGUCAGUGGUGAAAUACUCUAGCUCAACUAGAGGGGUGCCAUUGAUACUGAUGAGCUUGAGUACAGAUGAGGUAGGCGGAAUUGACGGUGUAGCGGUGAAAUGCUUAGAUAUCGUCAAGAACACCUAUAGCGAAGGCAGCUUACUAGGCUGUAACUGACGCUGAGGAACGAAAGUGUGGGGAUCAAACAGG
rnacentral:rRNA from 1 species